UGGGGAAUAUUGCACAAUGGGCGCAAGCCUGAUGCAGCCAUGCCGCGUGUGUGAAGAAGGCCUUCGGGUUGUAAAGCACUUUCAGCGGGGAGGAAGGCGAUAAGGUUAAUAACCUUGUCGAUUGACGUUACCCCCAGAAGAAGCACCGGCUAACUCCGUGCCAGCAGCCGCGGUAAUACGGAGGGUGCAAGCGUUAAUCGGAAUUACUGGGCGUAAAGCGCACGCAGGCGGUCUGUCAAGUCGGAUGUGAAAUCCCCGGGCUAAACCUGGGAACUGCAUUCGAAACUGGAAGGCUAGAGUAGUGUAGAGGGGGGUAGAAUUCCAGGUGGAGCGGUGAAAUGCGUAGAGAUCUGGAGGAAUACCGGUGGCGAAGGAGGCCCCCUGGACAAAGAGUGACGAUCAGGUGCGAAAGCGUGGGGAGCAAACAGG
rnacentral:rRNA from 1 species